CGGCACGGGUGAGUAACGCGUAUGCAACUUACCUAUCAGAGGGGGAUAACCCGGCGAAAGUCGGACUAAUACCGCAUGAAGCAGGGGCCCCGCAUGGGGAUAUUUGCUAAAGAUUCAUCGCUGAUAGAUAGGCAUGCGUUCCAUUAGGCAGUUGGCGGGGUAACGGCCCACCAAACCGACGAUGGAUAGGGGUUCUGAGAGGAAGGUCCCCCACAUUGGUACUGAGACACGGACCAA
rnacentral:rRNA from 1 species